AUUGAACGCUGGCGGCAGGCCUAACACAUGCAAGUCGAGCGGAUGAAGGGAGCUUGCUCCUGGAUUCAGCGGCGGACGGGUGAGUAAUGCCUAGGAAUCUGCCUGGUAGUGGGCGAUAACGUCCGGAAACGGGCGCUAAUACCGCAUACGUCCUGAGGGAGAAAGUGGGGGAUCUUCGGACCUCACGCUAUCAGAUGAGCCUAGGUCGGAUUAGCUAGUUGGUGGGGUAAAGGCCUACCAAGGCGACGAUCCGUAACUGGUCUGAGAGGAUGAUCAGUCACACUGGAACUGAGACACGGUCCAGACUCCUACGGGAGGCAGCAGUGGGGAAUAUUGGACGAUGGGCGAAAGCCUGAUCCAGCCAUGCCGCGUGUGUGAAGAAGGUCUUCGGAUUGUAAAGCACUUUAAGUUGGGAGGAAGGGCAGUAAGUUAAUACCUUGCUGUUUUGACGUUACCAACAGAAUAAGCACCGGCUAACUUCGUG
rnacentral:rRNA from 1 species